rnacentral:lncRNA from 1 species
GUGAGAAAAUUGAGGAUGCUCCAUGACAACAUUAUACAAUCGAAAAGGUUUGGGAUGCAAAGAUUUCUGCAUUCCAAACUUGAUAAGAAUAGGUGAAUGAUCAGAUAUAGCAGGGUUCAAAUAAUCUGCUUCCACAUGCCCAAACUGCUGCAACCACUGAUAGUUACCUAAUGCCCAAUCAAUUUUACAAUAGACUUGCUUAUUUGACCAUGUGAAAUGCCAACCUUUUGAUCUAACAACCGUCAGCUGGAGGUCAGAUAUGACCUCUUUGAAAUCCCUUACUUCAGCAUCAGUCACAAUAGAUACAAUCCUGUCAUCAGAAUUAAGAACAUUAUUA